rnacentral:rRNA from 1 species
CCUACGUGAGGCAGCAGUGGGGAAUAUUGCACAAUGGGGGGAACCCUGAUGCAGCGACGCCGCGUGAGUGAAGAAGUAUUUCGGUAUGUAAAGCUCUAUCAGCAGGGAAGAAAAUGACGGUACCUGACUAAGAAGCCCCGGCUAACUACGUGCCUGCAGCCGCGGUAAUACGUAGGGGGCAAGCGUUAUCCGGAUUUACUGGGUGUAAAGGGAGCGCAGACGGCUGUGCAAGUCUGGAGUGAAAGGCGGGGGCCCAACCCCCGGACUGCUCUGGAAACUGUAAAGCUGGAGUGCAGGAGAGGUAAGCGGAAGUCCUAGUGUAGCGGUGAAAUGCGUAGAUAUUAGGAGGAACACCAGUGGCGAAGGCGGCUUACUGGACUGCAACUGACGUUGAGGCUCGAAAGCGUGGGGAGCAAACAGGAUUAGAUACCCUUGUAGUC